CAGGAAUCUUCCACUGCUGCUCCCAUUAUGACAAGACUGCAGGAACUGUAGGUGGCUUUUACAUCAAAUGUCAACCUAGACAUCAGUAUGAAUGAUGAAACCUCCCAGAGCUAUAACAGUGCCCAACAUUAAGAAGAUGACUUCAGGCCCAAUACCCUAUAUACUGUGCUACCUAGCUAUUCAUAAGUUACAUUCACUCCCAUUACAAGCCAGGCAAGUCAAGAACGUCAAUCACCUUUAA
rnacentral:lncRNA from 1 species